CGCCGUUUUAUCAAAAACAUGUCUUAUAGAAAAUAAUUUUAAGUCAAAUCUGCCCAAUGAAAAAUUUAAUGGCUGCAGUAUCAAUAACUGUACAAAGGUAGCAUAAUAAAUAGUUUUUUAAUUAAAAACUAGAAUGAAUGAUUUAAUGAAAUAUAAACUAUAUAAAAAUAAUUAAAAUUUAAAAUUAAAUUUUAAGUAAAAAUUCUUAAAUUUAAUUAAUAGACGAUAAGACCCUAUAGAAUUUUAUAAUAAAAUAUUUUUAAAAAUAAAAUAUUAUUUAAUUGGGGUAAUUUUAAAAUUAUUUAAACUUUUAAUAUAAAAACAUAAAUUAAUGAAUAAAAAAUCCUAAAUUUUAGAAUUUUAAAAUAAAUUACCUUAGG
rnacentral:rRNA from 1 species